rfam:Caldisphaera lagunensis DSM 15908, complete genome.
UGGCCCGGCCAUAGCUGCCGGGUAACACCCGGACUCGUAUCGAACCCGGAAGUUAAGCCGGCCGCGUUGAAGUUGCCAGUGAGUUCCGAAAGGGCUCGCAGGCACUUCAAGCUGGGGCCG